UUCUGAGCGAGGUUCGGAGAGAGCCUAUCGCUGAAGAGUUGAAAAAUAUCGCUCGGAGGAAGGUUGAUUGCGGCACACAAACGACAGAUUAAAAUUUCCGACGAUCAUAGCCGCAAAUCCGUUCCACGCUUCGUGUUAAGCGGAGAAAAUGAGCAUAUUAAUUCAAGAAAGCGAAGGAGAGAAGUCGAUACUGAAGAUGACGGAUGCACAUCCGAUCAAGAGCCUGAUUUUUAUGGAUUCCCGGCGGAAUCGUUUAUUUUUAGAGAAGAUUCUCCGAUCGGAGAUCAAAUAGAUAGGCAUGAAAUUAAUCAGGAUACCAAGCAAAUUAGAAAAUCCAGUCGAAAUUCUAAAAAAACGUAAAGGUGAUUUUUAUUAUUAUUAUUAAGUUUAUAUAAUCAUUCAGGACCAUUCGAAAUGUUUAUCAGGGUCUGAUUUCGAAGUUUAUUUUAACAUUGAUAUUGUUUCAUUCUUAAAGGAAGGAGGAGUUGUUGUGUUAGGGCACGUUCUGAGCGAGGUUCGGAGAGAGCCUAUCGCUGAAGAGAGGAAAAGGGAAUAUAAAAGCUGUGCCUAUGAACAGAUCUGAAAUAAAGAUGAGUUAACUUUUGUACACCUUA